AAUCAACGCUGGCGGCGUGCCUCAGACAUGCAAGUCGAACGAUUAAACUUUCCUUCGGGAAAGAUAUAAAGUGGCGCACGGGUGAGUAACACGUAGGUAAUGUACCUUUGGGUGGGGAAUAACCAUCGGAAACGAUGGCUAAUACCGCAUAAUGCAGCGGCAUCGCAAGAUGACAGUUGUUAAAGAUUUAUCGCCUAAAGAGCAGCCUGCGGCAGAUUAGGAGUUGGUAAGGUAAUGGCUUACCAAGCCUGCGAUCUGUAACCGACCUGAGAGGGUGGUCGGUCACACUGACACUGAAUAACGGGUCAGACUCCUAC
rnacentral:rRNA from 1 species